AUUGAACGCUGGCGGCAGGCCUAACACAUGCAAGUCGAGCGGAUGAAGGGAGCUUGCUCCUGGAUUCAGCGGCGGACGGGUGAGUAAUGCCUAGGAAUCUGCCUGGUAGUGGGGGAUAACGUCCGGAAACGGGCGCUAAUACCGCAUACGUCCUGAGGGAGAAAGUGGGGGAUCUUCGGACCUCACGCUAUCAGAUGAGCCUAGGUCGGAUUAGCUAGUUGGUGGGGUAAAGGCCUACCAAGGCGACGAUCCGUAACUGGUCUGAGAGGAUGAUCAGUCACACUGGAACUGAGACACGGUCCAGACUCCUACGGGAGGCAGCAGUGGGGAAUAUUGGGCAAUGGGCGAAAGCCUGAUCCAGCCAUGCCGCGUGUGUGAAGAAGGUCUUCGGAUUGUAAAGCACUUUAAGUUGGGGGGAAGGGCAGUAAGUUAAUACCUUGCUGUUUUGACGUUACCAACAGAAUAAGCACCGGCUAACUUCGUG
rnacentral:rRNA from 1 species